CCUACGGGGGGCAGCAGUGGGGAAUAUUGCACAAUGGGGGAAACCCUGAUGCAGCGACGCCGCGUGAGUGAAGAAGUAUUUCGGUAUGUAAAGCUCUAUUAGCAGGGAAGAAAAUGACGGUAACUGAUUAAGAAGCCCCUGCGGACUACGUGCCAGCAACCGCGGUAAUACGUAGGGGGCAAGCGUGAUCCGGAUUUCAUGGGUGUAAAGGGAGCGGAGACGGCAGCACAAGUAUGGAGUGAAAUGCCGGGGCUUAACCGCGGAACUGCUUUGGAAACUGGGCAGCUAGAGUGCAGAAGAGGUGAGUGGAAUUCCUAGUGUAGCGGUGAAAUGCGUAGAUAUUAGGAGGAACACCAGUGGCGAAGGCGACUUACUGGACUGUAACUGACGUUGAGGCUCGAAAGCGUGGGGAGCAAACAGGAGUAGAUACCCGGGUAGUC
rnacentral:rRNA from 1 species